UGCUACACUUUCUUGUAAAAAUAAUAUGCCCACUCACUAGCUUUCCCUUGAAGUCCCUGAAUCUCUUAGCUACACUAGAGAGGAAAUUCUUUUUGAUUACACUACUACAAAAGCCUUGGUUUAUGGACGCCAAGAGAUCGACGCUUGAAUAUGAGCAUUGGUGGAAUAAAUUAAUUCCCGCUUAUCCACGACGCUUUUUUCCGUCCAGAACAAUGUAGACAACUUUAGGCGUCGAGAAUACAUGUGCAAUCCACGUGAUCUUGGCAAAUUAACUACAGGUUACCCGCAACUUCACAUUUUUCUGGAAAAAGAAAAACUACCUCAUUGAAUAGCUCCCACCCCUCACCUCUCAUCUCUCAUAUCUCACCCACCGCCUCUCAUCUCUUGCUAAACAAUCUCAGAUCUACUCUACUCUCAAUGAAAUUGUAAGCCUCUUUCAACGCAGCUUCCUCAUUUGUCUUCUCAUGGACUUGUAUUUCUCUGUCUCACCUCUCCAAAUUUUGUAAAUUCCGUUCUUUAAACUUGUAGAUCUUUUUCGGCGUGUUAAUGGCUUCUCAUCUUCUACCUUGUCGGCCUUGUGAAAGGCUAUUUUUGAAUUUUUACCAAUAAGAGAAAGCCUGGAAUGGCCUGAGUUAGAGCAGAAGAGAGUGCCCUUUAGCUGCAAGUUACAGGUGAAUGAACAAGACCCCUACAAUAGCAGUCAUCGAAGCAGAACUGAUUAAGAAGGCUUCUCUAAAUUUAAGGUCCUCAGUCGAAGAUGAAGCUGUAAUUAAUUCACGCCUUUUUCCAGGUAAAGAUAUUGCAUCCGUACAAGAAGAUGUGCAAGAACAAUGAGCUGAACAUACUGAAAGUUAUUAUAAAACAUUAUAAGUAUUAGUAAAUUUUGUGAGGAUUAGAUAAGAUUAGUAGAGUUGAAAAGAGCAUGGAGGUCUUGCCUUAUGACAGGAUAUACAGUCUCCAUGUAGACAGUGCUAGGUGUUUGUUUAGAUUACAUUCCCAUUAGCUGAGCCAUGAUGACAUAUCCAGAAGAAGUACAAUAAAGCAUCAUGUAAACAUGCCUGGAUUUUCCCAAUAUAAGUAACUGCUGUUAAUACAUGUAUUCUCUUAA